UAGUUUUGUUGUUGCUCGCACACGCGGCGUUGAGUUUAUUGCCCUUUCGGCGACAUAUUGACUGCACGCAAAGGAUUUUUUUGUUCUGAAAUGUCAUAAAAUGCUGCUGCUGCCACAGGCGUUGUUGUUGUUGUUGUUGUUUUACUUCCGCUUCAUUUCACUGUUACUGCUCAUCGCUGCUUAACUCAAAAUAUAUAUCAAAACAAAACUGAAGGUUAUAUACUUGAGAGUUGUUUUACAAAAGCAACAACGAACUGCAUGUUGUUGUAAUUAAAUGUGCGCGCCGCUUCAAAUGUGAAAUGAAGGACAACAGCGAGUGAGCACUCAAACAAGGAGUCUUCACGCAAUACAAUUAUUAGACUUAAAUACAGCCAUUAAACUCGAAGGAGUAGGGCAGAAGCAACAGCGCACAGCUGUCGUUGGUGCUACAGCUCACAAGCUAACUGUCUGUCUGUUCGUACGUCCGUCCGUCUGCUUGUCCUCAUUCUGCAGCUGUUGACCAACAAAGCCGCAAAGCCAAAGGUUAAGUGAAACAUGUUAAUCGACGGCGUACACACCAGACAGUGCAGCAGCGAGCACAAAAAAAAGAAAGAAAUACAACUACAACAACAAGAGCCUAACAAAGCAGUCAUAAAUAUUGUGGGAGAGUCAAAACAGAAUGCGCCAUCAGCAGUUAGGCAGGCAGGUAGCUGCUGCUUGCAUUUUUUAAAGAACAAAGCGCAGACCUGCUGCUUCUUCCUUUGUCUUUCGUCCUGAAGACACAGACAACGCGCGAACAAACACACGUCCAGCUGCAUGCAUAUGUAGUACGCUUACAAUAAAAGCGUGAAAUAUGAUGACGAACAAUAUUAAAUAUGACCAACAACAACUACACAAGUCAGACAAUCAGUCAGGGUCUUUUGUAGGCGCGGGUGUGUGUGCAUAUGGUUGUAUUUGUGGUCAAAACUAAUGUGAGUGCUCAAAGGACAGUGGACAGUAAUAAAUAAAAAUCCAAUUGAAAAAGCAGAAGUUACCGAGACUCGAACACACACACACAUAGGCGUUCAUUUUACUUCGUACGACAAUGAAGGUUAAUGACCCAAAUUGAAAUUGGUCGCUUGGCGGGACAAAGUUCGAAAAAGCGUGCGUAUUAAAUUUCAUAAACAAGCUGAAUUGCAUACUCUGUGUGUGUCUGACUGCACUGAAGAAAAAGAAGAGUUGGAAGAAGAAGAUGAAGAGGAAGAAAAAACGCAUACGAAUUUAUAAGCGAACGGAAAUUAUGCAAAAAAGAAAUUAAAAAAAAAAAACAAAAAAGAAACACUUAACGCCAACGCAACGCAUCAUUAGGGUGGGCGGUCAACAAUUUUAAAAGUUAAAGUUCGAAUUUAACACAUUUUUGAUAUAAGACUAAGCACAUAGUAGGGCGCAAAAAUAAACUAAAGAGUUAGAAUUAUAAAAAAUUAAGAAAAAAUUAAAAUUCUAACCUCAAAUUUUUAUUUUUCUACGCUUCAUUCAACCCUCAAAACUACACUAUGCACACAGCCUUAGCACCAUUGUAAUAAAACUAUAUCUAAUCAUGAUUUAUAACUUAAACAAACAGUUGUUGUUGUUUUAUAGCCAAAAAAAAAUCCACAACUGCUUGUGACAACACACACUUUCUUGACGAAAUAAAGAAAUAAGAGAUAUGCAGUACAAACAAGGAGACACAAGGUGAUUACAGCAGACAUUACAAAACUAUUGCAACACCGCACGAAAAGAAUGUGUACAGUUGCCACGAAAAAAACAACAACACAACAAGGUGAAGCAGCUAAAAGUUAGAACCGUUGCAUUACAAACACAACAAAAGUCGUUCGAAAAAUUUUAGCCGUUAUGUGUUUAACACGCUGAUGGAUUACUUGACAAAGCAGAUGCCACAACGCAAGACGCACUAAACCAGACGCACACGAGGCAGAGAUAAACGACGUGGAAAAGGAAAAAAAAGAAACACAUUUCAGCUGCGCUACUAAUGUGUGUAAAAUCAUUUGGAAAUUCUGGGAAAUCAGUUACAGCUGCCGCGAAGAAGCGGUCAGAAGCUGAGAAGACACACUAAGCGGGCUGGUAGGCAGGCAAGCGGUGCACAGCGGCUUUUAUAAACAACGGACAGACACACUAGGUUCUGAGUCAAUAAUAACAACAACAA